GACGAACGCUGGCGGCGUUCUUAACACAUGCAAGUCGAGCGGAGCGGCGAACGGGUGAGUAACGCGUGAGUAACUGCCCCCCCCUCUGGGCUAACCGUUGGAAACGGCUGCUUAUACCGGAUAGUGGGGGUUGUCUCGCGGUCUAUCAGCUGGUUGGCUGGGUAGUGGCCUACCAAGGCGACGACGGGCAGCCGGCCUGAGAGGGGGACCGGCCACAUUGGGCUGAGCUACGGCCCAGACUCCUACGGGGGGCAGCAGUGGGGAAGAUUGCACAAUUGGGGAAACCGUGGUGCAGCGACGCCGGGUGCGGGAUGACGGCCUUCGAGUUGUAAUCGGCUUUCAGCCAUGACGCGGUGGUGGCAGAAGAAGCACCGGCUAACUACGUGCCAGCAGCCGCGGUAAUAC
rnacentral:rRNA from 1 species